ensembl:piRNA 21ur-3897 ncRNA
UUUCAAUUGAAUGGAACUGUC